GUUCGAGGCCGCAAGGUCCGGGAGCUCGUGCUUGAGUCUGUGUAGCUGUGCGAGUGUGAGGAGCGGAGUGGAGCCGGGCGGCUUGCUGGCGCUGGCAGCCUUGGUGGAGUUUUAUAGAGUCCUGUCUCAUGACCUCAAGGAGGGUUCAUGCCAAGGGCACCUCCCGGGACUGUAGCUGCUAGUGCCCCCAUCCCACAGCGAGCCACUGCCAACCCACGCCUCUGCAGGAGACCCUCCAGCACUAGCAGAUUCCACAAUUCCUUGGUCCUGGAGACUCUUUCUAAGUCUGAUCCUGCUGGACAGGCAAGAUGGCAGAAUCAGACCACCUGCUGUGGUAUCUAGAAAAGCUUAAUGAAAAGGAAUUUAUGAGAUGGAAGAUCCACCUUGGACAAAAACAUGUGGAGCUCGGACUGCCAGAGAUCCCAACUUUCGAUCUAAGGACAACCAAAGAAGACCUGGUCAACCUGUUGAUGACCUCUUACAAGGCACAGCAUGUCUGGAACAUGAUGUUCAGCAUCUUUGAAAAGCUCCUUCAUAGAGUUCUCUGUGAGAAGAUCAACACCAGGCGAAACUGUGGCGCUAGUGGUUAAAGAGCCUGUGUGCCAGUGCAGGAGAUGUAAGAGACACAGGUUCAAUCCCUGGGUCAGGAAAAUCCUCUGGAGGAGGAAAUGACAACCCACUCCAGUGUUCUUGCCCGGGAAAUCCCAGGGACAGAGGAACCUGGUAGGCUACAGUCCAUGUGGGUGCAAAGAGUCAGACACAACUGAGCAACUGAUCAACAACAACAAUGAUGUACACAAAUGAGAAAAUCAGAGAAAAAGUAAAUAUGUAAUUAAUGGUUGAUAAUCAAAGAUCUAAUGAUUAGCUGCUUUGAGCCAGUUUAUAUCAGGAAACUAUCUCCGGGACAUAGUGAAGGACAGGGAAGCCUGACAUGCUGCAGUCCAUGGGGUCCAAAAGAGUCGGACACGACUGAGCGAUUGAACAACAAAACCAGGAAGCAGUCUCAGAACUCAAGAAUCAUGACUUCAUUUUACAUAAAAAUUUUCCUUUGAUGUGUUAUAACUAAAGGUUGUUGAAAAAUGCUGUGGAACCCGAAAGGUGAAAGAAAUAAGGUUUUUCUUAUGCCAAAAUACUUGAGAAAAAAGCUGUUAAGUUCCGCACCAGUGGUGAAAAAGAUCUGCAGCUUGUUAUUUGGAUCAAUUUUACUUUAUUUGAUUCUACUGAUGAAAACUAGGUUUUUGCAAUCUUCUUUUAAAAUGUUAUAGCAAAU